rnacentral:rRNA from 1 species
UACGAAGGGGGCUAGCGUUGCUCGGAAUUACUGGGCGUAAAGCGCACGUAGGCGGCUUCUUAAGUCGGUGGUGAAAUCCUGGAGCUCAACUCCAGAACUGCCUUCGAUACUGGGAAGCUCGAGUCCGGGGGAGGUGAGUGGAACUGCGAGUGUAGAGGUGAAAUUCGUAGAUAUUCGCAAGAACACCAGUGGCGAAGGCGGCUCACUGGGCCGAUACUGACGCUGAGGAGCGAAAGCGUGGGGAGCGAACAGG